rnacentral:rRNA from 1 species
UACGUAGGGGGCAAGCGUUGUCCGGAUUUAUUGGGCGUAAAGAGCGUGUAGGCGGCCAGACAGGUCCGUUGUGAAAACUCGAGGCUCAACCUCGAGAUGUCGAUGGAAACCGUCUGGCUAGAGUCCGGAAUAGGAGUGUGGAAUUCCUGGUGUAGCGGUGAAAUGCGCAGAUAUCAGGAAGAACACCUAUGGCGAAGGCAGCACUCUGGGACGGUACUGACGCUGAGACGCGAAAGCGUGGGGAGCGAACAGG